rnacentral:rRNA from 1 species
AAAUUGAAGAGUUUGAUCAUGGCUCAGAUUGAACGCUGGCGGCAGGCCUAACACAUGCAAGUCGAGCGGAAACGACAACAUUGAAUCUUCGGAGGAUUUGUUGGGCGUCGAGCGGCGGACGGGUGAGUAAUGCCUAGGAAUUGCCUUGAUGUGGGGGAUAACCAUUGGAAACGAUGGCUAUACCGCAUAUGCCUACGGCCAAAGAGGGGACCUUCGGGCCUCUCGCGUCA